rnacentral:rRNA from 1 species
AGUGAACGCUGGCGGUAGGCCUAACACAUGCGAGUCGAACGGCAGCACAGUAAGAGCUUGCUCUUACGGGUGGCGAGUGGCGGACGGGUGAGGAAUACAUCGGAAUCUACUUUUUCGUGGGGGAUAACGUAGGGAAACUUACGCUAAUACCGCAUACGACCUACGGGUGAAAGCAGGGGAUCUUCGGACCUUGCGCGAUUGAAUGAGCCGAUGUCGGAUUAGCUAGUUGGCGGGGUAAAGGCCCACCAAGGCGACGAUCCGUAGCUGGUCUGAGAGGAUGAUCAGCCACACUGGAACUGAGACACGGUCCAGACUCCUACGGGAGGCAGCAGUGGGGAAUAUUGGACAAUGGGCGCAAGCCUGAUCCAGCCAUACUGCGUGGGUGAAGAAGGCCUUCGGGUUGUAAAGCCCUUUUGUUGGGAAAGAAAAGCAGCAGGUUAAUACCCCGCUGUUCUGACGGUACCCAAAGAAUAAGCACCGGCUAACUUCGUG